CAAUGGCCAUUAGGCGGUAUGAACUGUAAUAAAGUAAUUAUUAAAUUUAUUCCCGAAAUAAAAUAACUAAAAAUAUCCAAUAUUUUUGAAAAAGAAUAGUGAGAGGCUCAGACAUUAGGCAUUAAAGUCAUAAAAAGGUAGAACAUUAAAACAACAUGAUGCAAACAUGAAGAUAUAAUUGUUAUUCAAGCAACCAUUAUCUCUCUUCUCCUAGAACCUUCCACUUCUAUCUUUGUCACCCUGCAAUUUGUCCCUGACCCAGGCAGCUGGAAACAUCAUUAGAAGGCUAAACAGAGAAAACACAUCUCCUGCUAUAGAGAGAGGAGUCGGGCCAGUUGAUUUGGACCCACGUGUUUCUGAUUCAUAAGAAGUUCAGCAGCUAUUUGGAGCUCAGGUGCGGCAAGGGGCAGCAGAGAGAGUUCCCAAAGAAGCAAAAAAAUACCAGUCCCAUCACUUUGCACCAUUAGAGAAACUGCCAACAUUUCCAUAAGG